GUGCCUUCUUUAAGCCAGCUCACCUGCCUACCUCACCGGCAAUUCUCAUCACCGAUGACCCGAGGCGGAGGAGGAGAAGUUUGACAAUGGUGACACCUGCAGGGUUAAGCUCCAACAGCUACGUGUUGGCAUUCCUGCUCCAUCUCUCUCUCUCUUUUCUGCCACUAUCUUUUCUUCUAUUAGAAUUGCUGAUAUGCUUGACCAAGACUUUCUUGAAGAGCUUGAAAUUAAUCAAGGAAUCAGAAGAAGUGGAUGAUGACAAGGAAGAAGACGAUGAGGAUGACUACGAGAAAGAUGAUACUGUUGACAUUUCUUUAGAGAAGGAAUUGCAGACGGUGCUUCCAUGUACAAGAACUUGCAACCGGCCUAAGCGAAAGCCUAGGCUUCAUCAUCCAUGCUUUGCAUGAUUUCAGUCUGGAGUUUGGAUGUGUCACUAGGCAUAGCUAUAGAGAAAGCAAAUUUUAGCUUCUUUCAGUUUAUUGUCCAUGACCAGCUUGUUAAUCCAAAUCCAAUAGUAUAGCCAUAGUAACUUUGUAUCUCCAAUUUUGGUUUAAAUUGUUUUCUUAUUAGUCUUUGCAUGGUGAACAUCGUCAUUAGGUAAUGCCGAUGAAAGAAUAUUGUAAUAGCAUUGAUCUUGGAGAAAUAAAUGGUUUUCCUCUUCUCCGCAA